AGGCACUGACACCAGCAGGGACGGGCCUGGGGGGGACACCCAGUGCCACAGCUCCACCCGCGCCCCACAGGUGGCAGCCGGGGGUGUCUGAGGAAACUCCCCACCCCGCACCACUGGAGAAUGUUCCCAGGACCUCGCCUGCUGCCUGAAAAGCCCACUCUCGUUCUGGUGCUUAUUUUCCCUUCCUUUUUAGGCCAUGAUUUCUGGAGAGCUUGACAUUCUCAAAGACUGGUGCUAUGAAGCUACUUACAGCCAGCUGGCCCACCCCAUCCAGCAGGCCAAGGCACUGGGUCUCCAGUUCCAUUCUCGCAUCCUAGACAUUGACAACGUCGACGUAAGCACCUCGCAGUGGGGGCCCGGGCCACCAUCGGGGGUGGGAACUAUGGCCCAGACAAGGCCCAGGAGGUGGCCUUGCCAGGGGCUGGGGGCCAUGGGCUGAUCCAAGAGGUCUUGGGCUUGUCCAAGGGGAGGGUCUCGAGGGAGGCCUGGUCCUGGCCUGAGAGGCAAGGCCCACGGGGAGGGACCGGUGCUGGGCCUGGUGCUGGAGCCUUCUCCUAGCAGGGCCUAGGCGCAGGGGUUUCACCUCC
rnacentral:lncRNA from 1 species